AUGAACGCUAGCUACAGGCUUAACACAUGCAAGUCGAGGGGCAUCAGGAAGAAAGCUUGCUUUCUUUGCUGGCGACCGGCGCACGGGUGAGUAACACGUAUCCAACCUGCCCUUUACUCGGGGAUAGCCUUUCGAAAGAAAGAUUAAUACCCGAUGGCAUAAUGAUUCCGCAUGGUUUCAUUAUUAAAGGAUUCCGGUAAAGGAUGGGGAUGCGUUCCAUUAGGUUGUUGGUGAGGUAACGGCUCACCAAGCCUUCGAUGGAUAGGGGUUCUGAGAGGAAGGUCCCCCACAUUGGAACUGAGACACGGUCCAAACUCCUACGGGAGGCAGCAGUGAGGAAUAUUGGUCAAUGGGCGCUAGCCUGAACCAGCCAAGUAGCGUGAAGGAUGAAGGCUCUAUGGGUCGUAAACUUCUUUUAUAUAAGAAUAAAGUGCAGUAUGUAUACUGUUUUGUAUGUAUUAUAUGAAUAAGGAUCGGCUAACUCCGUGCCAGCAGCCGCGGUAAUACGGAGGAUCCGAGCGUUAUCCGGAUUUAUUGGGUUUAAAGGGAGCGUAGGUGGACUGGUAAGUCAGUUGUGAAAGUUUGCGGCUCAACCGUAAAAUUGCAGUUGAUACUGUCAGUCUUGAGUACAGUAGAGGUGGGCGGAAUUCGUGGUGUAGCGGUGAAAUGCUUAGAUAUCACGAAGAACUCCGAUUGCGAAGGCAGCUCACUGGACUGCAACUGACACUGAUGCUCGAAAGUGUGGGUAUCAAACAGGAUUAGAUACCCUGGUAGUCCACACAGUAAACGAUGAAUACUCGCUGUUUGCGAUAUACAGUAAGCGGCCAAGCGAAAGCAUUAAGUAUUCCACCUGGGGAGUACGCCGGCAACGGUGAAACUCAAAGGAAUUGACGGGGGCCCGCACAAGCGGAGGAACAUGUGGUUUAAUUCGAUGAUACGCGAGGAACCUUACCCGGGCUUAAAUUGCAGUGGAAUGAUGUGGAAACAUGUCAGUGAGCAAUCACCGCUGUGAAGGUGCUGCAUGGUUGUCGUCAGCUCGUGCCGUGAGGUGUCGGCUUAAGUGCCAUAACGAGCGCAACCCUUAUCUUCAGUUACUAACAGGUCAUGCUGAGGACUCUGGAGAGACUGCCGUCGUAAGAUGUGAGGAAGGUGGGGAUGACGUCAAAUCAGCACGGCCCUUACGUCCGGGGCUACACACGUGUUACAAUGGGGGGUACAGAAGGCAGCUAGCGGGUGACCGUAUGCUAAUCCCAAAAGCCUCUCUCAGUUCGGAUCGAAGUCUGCAACCCGACUUCGUGAAGCUGGAUUCGCUAGUAAUCGCGCAUCAGCCACGGCGCGGUGAAUACGUUCCCGGGCCUUGUACACACCGCCCGUCAAGCCAUGGGAGCCGGGGGUACCUGAAGUACGUAACCGCAAGGAUCGUCCUAGGGUAAAACUGGUGACUGGGGCU
rnacentral:rRNA from 1 species